UUUAGCCCACCUUCUACAGUCUCUUCAUCGCUCCCUCUCACUUUCCCCUCAAAUUGGCUACUAUCCAAACAGAAAACAACACAAACCGAAACCUCUGCAAAACCCAAAUGAAUCACACGCAGCAGCCUUCCCAGCCCCAAGAUCUGUCAGAUCCCCAACUCCCCCAUAUCAGAGUCCACCACCCCAAUUCUCCCCGACACCACCCCAACUCCCCUCGUCACCACUCCUCCUCCGCCGCCACUCCCACCCCCACCGCCGGCGCCCGCCGCAAGCUCGGCGUCGCCGUUGACCUCUCUGACGAGAGCGCCCACGCCGUCCGCUGGGCUGUCGACCACUACAUCCGCCCCGGCGACGCCGUCAUCCUCCUCCACGUCAGCCCCACCUCCGUCCUCUUCGGCGCCGACUGGGGCUCCGUUGACCUCUCCAUCAACACCAACGACGACAUUGAUUUCGUCGACAACCACGCCCUGCACGACUCCGUCAAGCAGAAGAAGCUUGAGAACGACUUCGAUGCCUUCACCGCCUCCAAGGCCGCCGAUCUCGCCAAGCCCUUGAGGGAGGCGCAGAUUCCGUACAAGAUCCACAUCGUCAAGGACCAUGAUAUGAAGGAGCGGCUCUGCUUGGAGGUCGAGAGGCUAGGGCUCAGUGCCGUGAUCAUGGGGAGCCGAGGGGUCGGCGCUGCCAAGCGUGGGAACGACGGCAGGCUGGGAAGCGUCAGCGAUUAUUGUGUACACCACUGUGUUUGUCCCGUUGUUGUUGUUCGGUUUCCGGAGGAUGACAAUUGCGGCGUUGCUGAUGGUGGUUCUGGUGCUCCUCCUGUUGCUGCGGCGGUUGUUUCUGUUAAAGAGAAUGAGGAGGAAGAGGCCGUGAUCAAGCCGGUGCUAAAGGAGGAGCAUAAGUCAGAAGCUUAGCAGGUAUUCCGAUCUCCGUAGUUGAAUCCUCUCAAGUACAGGUCGCAUUUAAUGCCAAAUUUUGUGUAGAUGUUUGAGUCGACUUGGUGUGGUGUCAAGAUACGUUGAGUCCAGACUGCUUGCUCUCCUCACCAACAGCUCUUUCUCAUGUAUAAACUUUGGGAUGAUUGGAGAUGGUAUUUGUACGGUGAAUGAGGUUUAGGGUUUCUAUGGCGCUUUUCCUACUUUGUUCGACCGCUUUGUGACUCACCUACUCCUUUUAGUUUUGAGGGAUGUGCUUGUUGUUGCUAUUAUGAUGCAAAUUUAAUUAGUGGAUGUUUAUAUUUGGAUUCCUUGGUAUGGUAAGGUACUUUCUACCACAACCAUGAUUACAUUACUUUUCAAAGUCA